GACGAACGCUGGCGGCGUGCUUAACACAUGCAAGUCGAACGAAGAGCGACGGAAGCUUGCUUCUAUCAAUCUUAGUGGCGAACGGGUGAGUAACGCGUAAUCAACCUGCCCUUCAGAGGGGGACAACAGUUGGAAACGACUGCUAAUACCGCAUACGAUCUAACCUCGGCAUCGAGGAUAGAUGAAAGGUGGCCUCUACAUGUAAGCUAUCACCGAAGGAGGGGAUUGCGUCUGAUUAGCUAGUUGGAGGGGUAACGGCCCACCAAGGCGAUGAUCAGUAGCCGGUCUGAGAGGAUGAACGGCCACAUUGGGACUGAGACACGGCCCAGACUCCUACGGGAGGCAGCAGUGGGGAAUCUUCCGCAAUGGACGAAAGUCUGACGGAGCAACGCCGCGUGAGUGAUGACGGCCUUCGGGUUGUAAAGCUCUGUUAAUCGGGACGAAAGGCCUUCUUGCGAAUAGUGAGAAGGAUUGACGGUACCGGAAUAGAAAGCCACGGCUAACUACGUG
rnacentral:rRNA from 1 species